CCGGGAGGGAAGGGGCUGCCCUCCAGCUGCGGAGGUAAGGUACGAGCGCCCAGAGAGCCAGGAGCGCAGGCAAAAGGAGAGAGGAGCUUUCGGGCCGUCUGGGAGAGACAGAAGAAAGUUGUUAAAAGCACAUACAUCUGCUGCUCAAGACUGCACUCGUUCGGAGCCUCCAGAAGCAGACACUGUUGGCCCUGCCCUCAAGGAGCUGACAAAUUCAACUAGACUUGGAGAGAUUGGAAAAGAUCGUUGAAAAGCAUCUCUAAAGAGAACUACGCCACAAAUACCAACCACCCUGAUGGGCCAGGAUGGCUUGGAAGCCAAACAAAAAUAAGUAGUAUCAAUGAUAAAUGAGGUUAAGGAGGUCAGUGUAGAGCAGAGGCUGAACCUGGAGGAUGAAUCAGAUUUGGAAUGAGGCUGGAUAGGGAGGAAAUAAGAGAUGUUAGGCUGGAUAGGGAGGAAAACACUUGCCCACCUUCACCUCCCGCCCCACAAUACAACUAAAGCUAAGGGGUGCGGAGAGAGAUGUUGAUGGAUAUAUCCUAUCGCAGUGAAGAAUAACCGCAGGUUUUCUUACAUGACAGGGUGAAUGGGUAUUUUGGAAAGAUUAGCCUGGGGACCUCUCUGGUGGUCCAGUGGGUAAGACUCCACGCUGCCAGUGCAGGGGGCCGGGUUCCGUCCUUAGCUGGGGAAUUAGAUCCCACAUGCGUGCCACAACUAAGAUGUAGCACAGCCAAAAUAAAUAAAUAUUCCUUUUAAAGAAAGAAAGAUUAGCCUGUUUUG